CCCUUAGAUGUUCUGGGCUGCACGCGCGCUACACUGAUGCGAUCAACAAGUUUUUCCUAUGUCGAUAGACACGGGUAAUCUUUUGAACUCGCAUCGUGAUGGGGAUAGAUUAUUGUAAUUAUUAAUCUUCAACGAGGAAUUCCUAGUAGGUGCAAAUCAUCAGUUUGCAUCGAUUACGUCCCUGCCCUUUGUACACACCGCCCGUCGCUGCUACCGAUUGGUUGAUCUGGUGAAUUAUUCGGACUGCCGGCUGAAGGGGUUUCCUCAUCUACCAGCGGAAAGUCUUGUUAACCCUAUCAACUAGAGGAAGCAGAAGUCGUAACA
rnacentral:rRNA from 1 species